GCAUAGCUAACCGACGUCGCCAUGACAUCGCUUACAAUAGUGACCGGGGAUUUCUAUUGGACAAGCAGUGUUAUGCCUUAUCUUCAUCCAGCACCGUCUAUGCUGUGUCUGUCAAGCCCCAUCUUUUAAUAGAAGAGCUGCUGGAAGAGCUGCUGGAAGAGCUGCUGGCCUACUGACAUUCACUGUAUUGAACUGGUUGUUGAACUCUGCUCGCUUGGAUCAAGAGGGAUACAUGUAUUCUCUGGUCCAUUUCAUACUAAUAUACAUUGUUAGAUAACUAUUUGAUUUCCUCCGGCGUUCAACAGAACAUAAUGCUUGACAUGGACAAGCCACACCAGACCAGAUGCUGAUUGAGCAGGAAUACACAGCUAACUCAAGUGAUGAUGCUCGGGCAUCUUCUGACUCUUUUGCAAAAGACGUAUCAUCUUGUAUUAUAAUUGUAAUAUAUGAUCAUUUCUUAACAUUGUUGGCUGGUUUUAUCGGCUAAGUUGCCUAACCACGCCAAGACAUGUGAAGUGUUGUCUUCUAGCUGCCCUGUGUGUCGUGGUGUGUGUGCAAGGACACCGUCUGAUGGUCGGGAACCUCAUCCUCAACGAACCCGAGAGGACGGAACCUGUAUCGGAAAAGCGACAGCAGCGAAUCUGUUCUUAUGUAAAUCUCCACAACGUUGUUUUCGUGUCUGUGUCUAGCUAAUUCCGGUACAGGUUAUUAUCUUCGUUCCCAAGAGGCUGGAGGAUUAGCCAAGGAUCAUGUAUUUGAAGUCGGGCGCUAGCUUCCCUCGUACGCAGUACUGAUGUUGGACCUAGAAUGCCUAACUGGAGUACCCCUUCCUGGCUGCUUCUUCACAACGCAUGCGCCUAGUAGUCCAAGUAGAAAUCACUUUACUUACUCAACAUAAACAUAUACAUUUCAGUCAUUUAGCAGACGCUCUUAUCCGGUGCGAUUUACACUAGUAAGUCCAUAUAUCUUUGUACUGGUCCCCCGUGGGAAUCGAACCCACAUCUCUGGCGUUGUAAGUGCCAUACGCUACCAACUAAGCCACACGUGUUCUCAAAUUGUUGCUGUAUUUAUAACACGUUUAUAAACUGUUAAAUGUUUGCAGAGUUUAUAAGACAUAAUAAUGCAUGUAAUGUUUAUAUUUGUCCUGUUACACACAGUCUAUAAUAUAAAUGUUUUUUCGUUGUUGUUUUGCAUAUACGAACUCCCCCUGAGACACUCGCAGCGAGGAGGGUCACAGCCAGGGUCCCCGUUGUCGAGGCUACCUGCCGCCUCAAUAUUGGUCGGGAAUUGUGUAAUUCGUUAUUAUGGUGCUUGUCUGUUUAUUUAUUUUGUAUUAUUGAUUAAAUGCAUUGGUG
rnacentral:lncRNA from 1 species